rnacentral:lncRNA from 1 species
UACCCUCAAGUCUUCCAAGAUGAGAAACUGCAUAGAGGCUGCCCUGGAUGAGCUACUGCGUUACCUAUGAAUUUGCUGAGCACCAACAGCUGUGGCGUAGAAGCAGUCAUGACUUGCCAUCAAUAAAGCCCUCCAGAAGGUGCCUCUGUUCGUGUCCCUGGCUGGAACCUCUGGUCAUGUGGAAGCAGGAUAGGAAAAGCAGGCCUGUCCCAGUGAGCAGUUCCAUCUUGCCAUGUCCCUGCUUGCCAGUCACAGGAGGAAGUGGCAGUUGCCUCAAAGGUCCCUUCUAGGUUCCAAACAAGACUUUCCUUACACAGCCCACCCAGAGCCUUGGGUCUGCCCACAGCCGGUUGCCUCCAGCUCUCUAGGUUUUGGGGUGACCCUCGAGGCCUCUUUUCAAGGGUAGCUGUGCUCUGCCAAAUUCUUCAGAAAGGACAAUACAAGGGGUCUGUGGUGGGGUCUCCUUUUGGGAUGUCUUAGGAGACCCCAUAAUUGCAUGCCCAUGAAGGAGAGGGCCUGUCCUGCCCUUUCUCUCUAUCUGAACCAUCAGGUCUGUGCUGCAAAGUCUGGUGAUGUCACUCUUCGGGUGUUCCUUAUUUAUUCUGGUGACUACCCUGGGACUGGGAGUAAUUAUAGCAUUCUGUGGAGAGGUGGCCCUCUCGGCACCUUCUAGCCAUCCUCCCCAGAACUGCCUUUGAUCGAGCUCUUUGUGGGAAAGCAGCCAUUAAGAGAUGUCUAUCUUUGGUUUCAUCUGCACGGGAGAAAGGAGAACUAAAUUGGCAGUGGAGGCUUCCGUGUUCUCAGAGUGGCCUCCUCCCAAAGCGUGCUGAGCUCUCAGGGACACAGCCCUGUCCCCGCUGCCACAGAGCCACCUGGAGGCCUUCGUCUGCAGUCGGCAGUGGUACUCCAGGCGGAAGGCACCCAAGUGAGGUGCCAUCUGCAUGGUGCACGUCCCCUGAGAUACUCUGCUAAAGUCUUCCGGGAACUCUGGGGAGGUCUCUGAAGUGCUCAUACUUAUUUAAUGAAUUAUUAUUUCAUGAUUAUUUAUUUUUCCUGUUAUAAAAUAAAAGCAUAUU